CCGAACCCCUCCCUCGGCGGCGUCUCAUCGUCGUCGCCAUCUUCAUCAGAUCCACAAGGCGGAACAGGAGGAGGAAGAUCAAAUAGACGGAAUCUCUCCGUCUACCGUCAUCAAGUAGCUAGGUUGCAAUGGAUGCAAUCGCCCCCACGACACUACUUUCACGGGAAAUUGCUCGAGAGUUCCUGAUUGCGAUCUCUCAGACAACACCAGAAAAGUGCCUCGCCGCAAAUGUGUUGCCUGCAAACUCGACUGAUGUUGGUGUUGCAGAGGGACGAAUCGACGACAGAGAUGCAGACAAAUACAGAUCCAAGUUGAUCUCCAUCUCCCAGAGUCAAUCUCCACAUGCUCAACUAUCAGAGGCCUUAAUUAGAUGAAUAGUUAUCCUGUCUUUUCCUUUUUCUAUUUUCCCCAUGUUUGCUCCACGUCGUACCUUUGUUUAUUUUCCUCAUCGGGAAAUGUAAAUUUGACUGCAUAAAAAUUAACCUGCAUAAUUAUAAGCCCA